rnacentral:misc_RNA from 1 species
UUUAAGCCCCGAUAGAAAUGAAAAUCCUUUUUGAGGUUUUUACCGAAAAAAGAGUACUUCACCAAUUUGAUGUUUUAUUUUGGUAUUCAGUGAAUUUCAUUUGCAAUGUAUAGCGGGAUUAGCU